ACGUACGCUGGCGGCACGCCUAACACAUGCAAGUCGAACGAAGUAGCAAUACUUAGUGGCAGACGGGUGAGUAACAUGUAGGUAUCUGCCCUUUGGCCUGGAAUAACACGAGGAAACUUGUGCUAAUACCGGAUAAGUCUUUACAGAGAAAGCUUUAUGCACCAUUGGAUGAGCCUGCACUUGAUUAGUUUGUUGGUGGGGUAAUGGCCUACCAAGACUUUGAUCAAUAGCUGAUUUGAGAGGAUGAUCAGCCACAUUGGGACUGAGACACGGCCCAAACUCCUACGGGAGGCAGCAGUGGGGAAUCUUGCACAAUGGAGGAAACUCUGAUGCAGCGAUGCCGCGUGAGUGAAGAAGGCCCUUGGGUUGUAAAGCUCUUUCGUCGGGGAAGAAAAUGACUGUACCCGAAUAAGAAGGUCCGGCUAACUUCGUGCCAGCAGCCGCGGUAAUACGAAGGGACCUAGCGUAGUUCGGAAUUACUGGGCUUAAAGAGUUCGUAGGUGGUUGAAAAAGUUGGUGGUGAAAUCCCAGAGCUUAACUCUGGAACUGCCAUCAAAACUUUUCAGCUAGAGUAUGAUAGAGGAAAGCAGAAUUUCUAGUGUAGAGGUGAAAUUCGUAGAUAUUAGAAAGAAUACCAAUUGCGAAGGCAGCUUUCUGGAUCAUUACUGACACUGAGGAACGAAAGCAUGGGUAGCGAAGAGGAUUAGAUACCCUCGUAGUCCAUGCCGUAAACGAUGUGUGUUAGACGUUGGAAAUUUAUUUUCAGUGUCGCAGCGAAAGCGAUAAACACACCGCCUGGGGAGUACGACCGCAAGGUUAAAACUCAAAUGAAUUGACGGGGACCCGCACAAGUAGUGGAGCAUGUGGUUUAAUUCGAAGAUACGCGCAGAACCUUACCAACACUUGACAUGUUCGUCGCGACUUUAAGAGAUUAAAGUUUUCGGUUCGGCCGGACGAAACACAGGUGCUGCAUGGCUGUCGUCAGCUCGUGUCGUGAGAUGUUGGGUUAAGUCCCGCAACGAGCGCAACCCUCACUUUUAGUUGCCAUCAUUAAGUUGGGCACUCUGAAAGAACUGCCAGUGAUAAGCUGGAGGAAGGUGGGGAUGACGUCAAGUCCUCAUGGCCCUUACGUGUUGGGCUACACACGUGCUACAAUGGUAUCUACAACAGGAAGCAAGACGGCGACGUUUAGCAAAUCCCUAAAAGAUACCUCAGUUCGGAUUGCACUCUGCAACUCGAGUGCAUGAAGCUGGAAUUACUAGUAAUCGUGGAUCAGCGUGCCACGGUGAAUGCGUUCCCGGGUCUUGUACACACCGCCCGUC
rnacentral:rRNA from 1 species